rnacentral:rRNA from 1 species
AGCGAACGCUGGCGGCAGGCUUAACACAUGCAAGUCGAGCGGGCACUUUCGGGUGUCAGCGGCGGACGGGUGAGUAACGCGUGGGAACGUGCCCUCUGGUUCGGAAUAACUCAGGGAAACUUGAGCUAAUACCGGAUACGCCCUUUUGGGGAAAGGCUUGCUGCCGGAGGAUCGGCCCGCGUCUGAUUAGCUAGUUGGUGAGGUAACGGCUCACCAAGGCGACGGUCAGUAGCUGGUCUGAGAGGAUGAUCAGCCACACUGGGACUGAGACACGGCCCAGACUCCUACGGGAGGCAGCAGUGGGGAAUAUUGGACAAUGGGCGCAAGCCUGAUCCAGCCAUGCCGCGUGAGUGAUGAAGGCCUUAGGGUUGUAAAGCUCUUUUAUCCGGGACGAUAAUGACGGUACCGGAGGAAUAAGCCCCGGCUAACUUCGUG